rnacentral:rRNA from 1 species
GAUGAACGCUAGCUACAGGCUUAACACAUGCAAGUCGAGGGGCAGCAUGGUCUUAGCUUGCUAAGGCCGAUGGCGACCGGCGCACGGGUGAGUAACACGUAUCCAACCUGCCGUCUACUCUUGGACAGCCUUCUGAAAGGAAGAUUAAUACAAGAUGGCAUCAUGAGUCCACAUGUUCACAUGAUUAAAGGUAUUCCGGUAGACGAUGGGGAUGCGUUCCAUUAGAUAGUAGGCGGGGUAACGGCCCACCUAGUCUUCGAUGGAUAGGGGUUCUGAGAGGAAGGUCCCCCACAUUGGAACUGAGACACGGUCCAAACUCCUACGGGAGGCAGCAGUGAGGAAUAUUGGUCAAUGGGCGAGAGCCUGAACCAGCCAAGUAGCGUGAAGGACGACUGCCCUAUGGGUUGUAAACUUCUUUUAUAAAGGAAUAAAGUCGGGUAUGGAUACCCGUUUGCAUGUACUUUAUGAAUAAGGAUCGGCUAACUCCGUG